GACUUCAUGGUGCAAUUGGUAGCACGCAUAGCUAAAAGAAUCACGCUGUGAGAUUUAGGUUCGAUUCCUAAUGGAGUCC